GUACCAUAGGUGUUACAUUCUUUGAAGUAAGGGAAUUUAAUUCUGUAUUUGUUUCGUUUAACAUUAAAUGUUCUGAAAGUAAAUGAUGCAGUGUUAAUACAAUUUUAUAAAUUUACCAAACUUAUACACCAAAAAACUGGUGAAUUUUAUGCUGCAUAAGUUAUACUUAAGAUGUCUACAAAAAGUUAUGACUGAGAAUCUCCACUGAAAAUGUGAAUCUAAUAUCUACCAAGUGUAUCCACCUCCAAAUUGAUACUCACUUAUUUCUAGAUUACAUUUAGCACAGUGACCAGCAAAAUGUCUCCUACCAACUAUGAAACCUCUCUUAGAGUACUUGAAGAAGAGACUCAUUCUGUCUUCAGACCUUCAGACCUGCUACCCUCUAACCUCACUACAUAGAUGGCCAAGUGAUACACAUUUAAACCCCAUGAAGAGAUGAUCAUCUCUUUUGUCCCCACACUACAACUAAGAUUUGAGAAGAAAGAACUAUUGAAAUUUAACACAAAAUCAUGAGAAUUUCAGUCUUCAUUUCCCCUCAACCUAGAAGGAGAAAGCAGAGACAAAGAACCAAUACUGUGAGGUGAAGAAAUAAAAGGAUGGCACAGUAGAACAAGUCUGGUUUGGGGAUGUCAUCUCUUUUCUGGUAUUUAGAAAGUAAAUGUUCUGCCAUGAACUGAUUCCCACUCAUAGAAUUAAUGACUUCGGAAACAGCUUUAAACAAAUACUUAACACAGCAAUUCUGUUAUCAAGAAUUCUCUCUUGAAAUUGGAACAAAAUCCUAAAGUGCUGCAUGAAGUGGCAGUACAAGCAAUUUCCUUCAGCUUGGGACACAUGGGUUAAAAAUAAAUGGAGCAUGAAGGUACUGAUGGGGAUAAAAAAGGACUGUAGCCAAGUGGAAAGAGAAAAAAUCUGGGCUUAGUCUGAAGAUCUGAAUGCAAAUUCUCCCUCUGCUACUUACUAGUCUUGUGAUCUUGAUAGAUUUCAAAAAGGAAGGGAUGAAGUCAUCCCUUCUAGGAGAUUUAUUUGAGGACUAAACAAAAUUAAUUUUGAACACUGCUUUUGACGGAUGUUAAUAGAUGAUACCAGAAAAAAACAAGGUUCCAUGGUGUAGGGUAAGUAAAUGAUAAUCGGCUUUUCUGCCCUCCUGCCAUUAGGGUUGAUGAUAGAUCUGUGGUCGUCAAUGCAUGCCUGAUGGCGGGCACCUGGAGUAGGGUGUGGGCAUAUGUAGAUGGGAUUCACCUGGGCUAAGACUGGACUUAUAAGGGCGGCGUCACAGGACGCCAGCAGAAGCAAAGAGAAUGAGAGCGAAAAAGAGAGCGAAAGAGAAGCAGAGAGCAAAAAGAACCAUGGGAAGCAGACCAGAACAGCAGAGCCAAAGAGAACAAAAGAACGGAACAGCAGAGAAGCAAGGCCAUGAGAGAACUCCAAAGAACCCAAAAAAAGUGAAGACUUGCCAGGGGAUUGGGAUUAGGCCAGCCAGCCUCCCACCCUCCUGCCCACCCCCAUCUGCGGUGUACCGGGUAAAAUCCUAAUAAACCCUGCAA